rnacentral:rRNA from 1 species
UGACAGGUGCUGCAUGGCUGUCGUCAGCUCGUGUUGUGAAAUGUUGGGUUAAGUCCCGUAACGAGCGCAACCCUUGUCCUUAUUUGCCAGCGAGUAAUGUCGGGGAACUCUAAGGAGACUGCCGGUGACAAAACCCGGGAGGAAGGUGGGGACGACGUCAAGUCAUCAUGGCCCUUACGGGUAGGGCUACACACGUGCUACAAUGGCCGGUACAAAGGGCGGCGAGCUCGCGAGAGUCAGCGAAUCCCUUAAAGCCGGUCUCAGUCCGGAUCGGAGUCUGCAACUCGACUCCGUGAAGUCGGAAUCGCUAGUAAUCGUGAAUCAGAAUGUCACGGUGAAUACGUUCCCGGGCCUU